UUAAGUGUGAGUUAAUCCAUGAACGAUAGCUUCAAUCAGCAGUAAUUUUCUUAACAUAAUUCAUGCCUGAGUAUUAUAUUCAGUUUAGCUGGACAUCUAUGGCACACCAUAAGCCAAAUUUUGAAGAUUAUUCAUGUUAGAAUUGGAUUCAGUCGAUCCUUAGUGACUUAACAAUCAGGCCUUAAUUGAAACACACACACACAUUGUUAUUGACAGUAUAGAAAUACUGACUCAUAGAAAAAUUCACCCAUAUUUAGUUAGCAGACUAACAGGAACAGCAGCAGCAGCAGCAGCAGCUGGUCAUGCUUCUGUGUGUUGCUAGCAACAAGAAACCAUGACAGCAAGGCCCCAAACAGGAACCUCCUGCAUUUUCUCAUCUGUGAUGAGGCACACCGAUGCUGGGGAUUAAUGAGCCUGAAGAUAUAAAGCAGUGUUUACCAUUGGAAAAUGUCUCCUACACUAAAAGCAGAGAUAUGAAGAAUUUCAUGAUAAUUAAGUCAAUGUUUAUUGAUGACCCAGGUGUUCAGAAGGGGAGAGGAACCCAAGAACUGGCUAGCAGUCCAGGAUAAGAGCUGUCUGAAGAACAGAGGAGAGUGAGGACAAGCUGGAACAUGCAGGCAGCCACAUGUGGCAGGCAAGUUAAUCUUCAGUGGAAUAUGCAAAUAGGAUUUCUGAAUUUGGCAUGCAAAUGAAUUUGAGAGCUUCUGGGAACAUCUCUUCCAAGAUUCUGGUGAGCCUUUCUUCCUGGGGGAAACUUAGCAGAGGAAGGCUCAGAGGUGGAAGAGACUUGCCUUGUCUCAGUGAUAGUGAGCAAGUUCUCAUGAGAUCUGAUGGCUGCAUAAAGGACUUUACAUCACUUUUUUCUCCUCCUGCCUUGUGAAGAAGUUUGUGUUCACUUCCCCUUCUGCCAUGAUUGGAAGUUUCCUGAGGCCUCCCAGCCAUGUGAAACUGUAAAUGAGCGUGAUCGUCUCCUAAGAUUUGUUGGUCUCUGAGGUCUUCCUUCCAUCAAGUCUAAAUAGAUGUCAGAUUUCAGAAAACGUGUAUAACUGUCUUGUUCCAUGAGCUGAUACACUCUGCUUUGUGCAGCAUCAAAACUGUGGAGGGUAGGUUGAGUGAUGCUAUUUGUAAUGACUUCUUUUGUGUGAAAAUCAAGGUUAACCUGAAUAAACAGAAAAAAAGUGUGAUUAUAGUUAAUAUGCUUAUAUAAACAACUUUGAGAAACAGCACAGGACUGAUGCAAUGUUGGAGUGGGCAUCGUGGGCUUAAAAGCUGAUAUAGUUUGGAUGUGUGUAGCCUGCCCAAACCUCAUGUUUAAUUGUAAUCCCCAGCAUUGGAGGUGGAGCCUGGUGGGCAGUUAUUGGAUCAUGGGGGUGGAUUUCCCAUGAAUGGUUUAGCACCAUCUCCUUAGUGCUGUCCUCACGAUAGUGAGUGGCUUCUGGCAAGAUCUGGCUGUUUAAAAGUGUGUGACACCUCACUCUGUCUCUCUUUUGAGCCUGCUUCUGAAAUGUGAGAUAACUGCUCCCCCUCUGCCUUUUGCCAUGAUUGGAAGCUUCCUGAGUUCUUCUCAAAAGCAGAUGCUGUUAGGCUUCCUGUAUAGCCUGCAGAACCAUGAGCCAAUUAAAGUUAUUUUCUUAUAAAUUACCUAGGCUCAGAUAUUUCUGUUUUUUUAGCAUGUAUCAAAAACUUUAUUCUUUCUGUGGCUGAAUAUUCCAUUCUAUAGGUACACCACGUUUCAUGUAUCCAUUCAUUUGUUAGUAAACAAUUGGGUUGUUUCCACAUUUUGGUUAUUGUGAAUAGUGCUGUUGUGUUUGUUGCAGUGCAAGAAUGGCCUAAUAUAGAUGCUUGGGUUUUUUUCCUCUAUUCUUGACUAGCAUUUCAUCUGUUUCUUCUCUCCUGGAAUUCCUGGUCCUUCUUACUCUCUAUGAAUUUAGAAUAAUGCAAUAUUGAACUGCUAAGAUCAUAGAAAUAAUUAAAGCAUAACUCAUUUUCAAAAUAGGUAACUAAACCUCACAGAGGUUAAAUUAUUUGAGUCAUGGGAACAAAUGAGCUGGGGCAUAUUUGAGAUUUUAAUGUGGGGCUUCUCUUUAUUCCAGUGCUCAUUUCAUUAUGUUAUGAUUUCCUCCAAGCAAACAUAUGCUGUAGUAUGAAUGUCUUUUAAAGAUAUAAAAUUCUUUAAUGCCUUGUAUCAUAGCACUGAAUAUAUAUCUGGUUCUGAUGGUGGUUGGGUUUUCAGGUAGGGGCUUUCUUUCCCCUUGUCCAUAACACAAUACAACUAGCUGCCUUUUUAUAAAAAAACUAUGUAAAACGUUGGUUUUGGGAGAAGCACUAUUUAUAAAACACACAUUAGAAACUUUGAAGCUCUACUUAAUUAAUAUUUUAGGGCAGUCAACUCAUAUUUGCUAGUCUUAUACCCAUUUUAGCAAUUGUAUCACACAAUUACUUCACAUUGAGUUUGGAGUAAAAGAAAAUCUCAAUUGUUUUCCACUUGAAAACUUGCCUAGUUAGAUUUACCUCAUCUCUCUAUUGUAAGAUUUUUCUUUUAACCUGUCUUUAAAGUAGCCCUAAAGCAAACAAAACUCUGUAUAAAUAGAUGAGCCAAAAUUAAAUUGGUAUAUGAUGCAAACUUCUUGAUGUCCCUUGACUUCAUCACUUAUAGAAAUCUUUAGUUUCUAUGAGAGGUUGCUUGUGCGAAAGUGAUUAAUAUGAAUAAGUGAAUGAAUCUAAAUGUUGCAAUUUAUCAUAUUCACUCUUAGUCUAGAAUGAAAAUAACUCUGAAAAGUGACUCUAAUUGUACUUUUCCUUCUGUGAUAGUAUCUUACAAUGUCUUCCAUUUGUAUGGAUAAAUAUUCAUAAAUAAUUAUCUUCCCUCCAGCAACAUCAUGAACAUUCUGGUAGAAUGUAUGAGGGUACAAAUUUGAUAAAGACAGAUUAUCUAAAAAAUUUAGCUCUGAAUAUACAUUUCUCAUAAAAAGACAUAAAGUGCCAUUUUGGACAAAAUGUUCAACAUCAUUACCCAUCAGGGAUAUGCAAGUAGAAACCAUAAUGAGAUACCAACUCACUUCAGUUAGAAUGGCUUUUAAUGAAAAAGACAAAAAAUAACAAAUGUUGGUGAGGAUGUGGAGAAAGGGAAACUCAUGCAUUGUUGGUGGGCAUGUAAGGUAGGGCAGCCAUUAUAGAAAAUAGUAUAAGGGUUCCUCAAAAAUUAAAAAUAAAAUUAUCAUACGAUCCAGCCAUUCUACUUCUAGGUAUAUAUCUAAAGGAAUUGAAAUCAGCAUGUUAAAGAGAUAUCUACACUCCCAUGUUUAUUGCAGCAUUAUUCACAGUAUCCAAGAGAUGGAAUCAACCUAAAUGUCCAUCAAAGGAUGAAUGUAUAAAGAAAAUGUGGUACAUAUGGAACACUAUUGAGGUAUUAAAAAACAAAGAAACUCAGUCAUCUGUGGCAAUGUGAAUGAACCUGGAGGACAUUAUGUUAAGUGAAAUAAGCCAGGCACACAAAAAUAAAUACUACAUGAUCUGACUUGUAUGUGGAAUCUAAUAAAGUUGCUCACAUAGAAGUAGAGAGCAGAAUAGUGGUUACCAAGAGCUAGGUAAGGUAGGAAGGAUGGGAGGAUGGAGAAAGGAUGGAUCAACAGGUACAGAGAUAGAUAGAAAGAAUAAGUUCUGGCAUUAUAUUACCUAAUAGGUGAUUAUAGUGAAUAAUAAUACAUGGUAUAUUUCAAGAUUGCUAGAAAAGAACAUAUUGAAUAUUAUCACCACAAAGAAAUGAUAAAUGUUUAAUUUGAUGAAUAUGCUAACUCUGAAUUUAUCAUUAUACAAUGCACGCAUAUAUUAAAACAUCACACUGUCAUUAACAUGUGUAAUUGUUACAUGUCAAUUAU